rnacentral:rRNA from 1 species
UGCCAGCAGCCGCGGUAAUACGGGGGGAGCAAGCGUUGUCCGGAAUUACUGGGCGUAAAGGGCGUGUAGGUGGCCUGGUCAGUCAGAUGUGAAAGCCCGCGGCUUAACCGCGGAACUGCAUUUGAAACUGCCAGGCUUGAGUGCGAGAGAGGGUAGUGGAAUUCCCAGUGUAGCGGUGAAAUGCGUAGAUAUUGGGAAGAACACCAGUAGCGAAGGCGGCUACCUGGCUCGUAACUGACGCUAAUGCGCGAAAGCGUGGGGAGCAAACAGGAUUAGAUA